UACGGAGGGUGCAAGCGUUAUCCGGAUUCACUGGGUUUAAAGGGUGCGUAGGUGGGCAGGUAAGUCAGUGGUGAAAUCUCCGGGCUUAACCCGGAAACUGCCAUUGAUACUAUCUGUCUUGAAUACCGUGGAGGUGAGCGGAAUAUGUCAUGUAGCGGUGAAAUGCUUAGAUAUGACAUAGAACACCAAUUGCGAAGGCAGCUCACUACGCGAAUAUUGACUCUGAGGCACGAAAGCGUGGGGAUCAAACAGG
rnacentral:rRNA from 1 species